CAACUUUCUGUCAUGUGAAGAGAAAAUUAAGUAAGUUUAUGCAAUAAAAGCUCUUUAUUCAGAAAGUCAGCUCUGCUAGAAAAAGCCACCACCUGCUCAGGUUCCAACUCUUCCAUAUUUUUGAUGAUUCCCUCAGCUGCUUUCAGUUCACAUGAAGUUUCCUUUGAAGGUACCGUACAGAUCCAUCCCUUGGACCCCAUAAGCUGUUGUCUGCUGCAAAAAAGAGCUCUGCUGGAGAAAUGGAAUUUUAAGUACUGAAAAUACAUAGGAUACUCCUAAAAUACACAGUGCCAUGCUGUUCAGCUUAAGCUGAAAUAUGCACCUAUGACGAGGGUAUGGAAGGGAUUCAAGUGGUUUUAACCCCCUUCCAGAUAGUGCAGGGCUGCUAUGGGAGUGGGAAAGGCCCUGGAUGUGACUUAAAAAUAACCUCACGUGUGACAGAGCUGAGUGCUGCAGGGCUCUCAUCAGAUGGCUGCACUCCCAACAUGACCACUGGGGCUCUUUACAGCCCCCUUCAUAGCUUCUCUAAAUGGAAACUACUUGUUUCUUUUUGCCAGUUCAUCCCUUAUCUUUGGCACAAUAAACCACAAGAAGGUUUUUCUCUGA